GCCAGAGGGAAGGGGAACUGAAGCUAAAUGCUGUGGGGGAGAUGUGUGCAUAAAGAUGCUGAAAGCUCUGGUGUGAAAGGGCAGCUGGAAGCGAAGACCUUGGGGAGGCAGAAGUCAAAGCAACAUCAAUGUUCCAAUUCAAAGGCAAAAAGGAAUGUGACAGAGCAUUUUAAUGUUAAUGGCAGACUUGGAAUGGAGAUGUAUGACUGGGCAUGGCUCGUGCACAGGCAAAGCUGGUUCAAAAAACCCCAGAGGUAAGCAAGCACAAACGUGACUCUCCCAUCUCUGUCUUCAGAUUUGGAAUAAUCAAGUUAAUUACUGACAUUCUUUAUAACACUUGGUAUUUUCAGCCUAAAGACAUUCUAACCUCGAAGGCUCUGAACACACAAGGACAGUGGAGAGGCUGCUCCAUUCUCAGGUAGACCCUGAUGAAGGCACAGUUAAAAACAAAAACUUUAAAUAUUCUGCUUCAUUUAACUAUCUCAACAAAAAUCUGUUUAUCACAUGGAAAACAUUUUGUAAAGUUCCUUAAAGGUUUGCCCAAUGUUUUGGGCAUAUUUCUCUUUUUUUCUUGCUGAAUGAAGACCUCAUCCUCUCACUUCUCAAUCUGAUGGAGCUGGAGAUUUGGGAUAGAUACUCACAUACUAAUUGUGCAAGACAACAUUUACUGAAUAACCUGCAGCAAAGAGGGAAGUGAUUGCAGACAUCUUUAUUGUCUGCUAUUAAUUGGUAUACCUGUUGCACAGACCUGUUGGUACCACUGGAUGUAGCAGUGAAAGAUGAAAUCAUGGUAAUUGCAAUCUCCCCUCAAGCUAUCAUUUAAUUUACAUUUUAAUUAAUUUAUGUUGAAGCAAUUAAAGGCAUGAAGGAAAGAACGUGCCAGUGUCAAUUAAGGACUGUGAGUCAAAGAGGAGAGUUUGGUUCAAGACAAAGUUAAUUUAAAAAGAA